UAUUAACUCUGGCGGCGUGCCUAAUACAUGCCAGUCGAGCGAACAGAUGAUGAUCUUGCUCCUCUGACGUUAGCGGCGGACGGGUGAGUAACACGUGUAUAACCUACCUAUAAGACUGGGAUAACUUCGGGAAACCGGAGCUAAUACCGUAUAAUAUAUUGAACCGCAUGGUUCAAUAGUGAAAGACGGUUUUGCUGUCACUUAUAGAGGGAUCCGCGCCGCAUUAGCUAGUUGGUAAGGUAACGGCUUACCAAGGCAACGAUGCGUAGCCGACCUGAGAGGGUGGUCGGCCACACUGGAACUGAGACACGGUCAAGACGCCUACGGGAGGCAGCAGUCGGGAAUGUUCCGCAAUGGGCGAAAGCAUGACGGAGCAACGCCGAGUGAGUGAUGAAGGUCUUCGGAUCGUAAAACUCUGUUAUUAGGGAAGAACAAAUGUGUAAGUAACUAUGCACGUCUUGACGGUACCUAAUAAGAAAGCAACGGCUAACUACGUG
rnacentral:rRNA from 1 species